UACGGAGGGUGCAAGCGUUAUCCGGAUUCACUGGGUUUAAAGGGUGUGUAGGCGGGCAUGUAAGUCAGUGGUGAAAUCUCCAGGCUCAACCUGGAAACUGCCAUUGAUACUAUAUGUCUUGAAUUUUGUUGAGGUUGGCGGAAUAUGUCAUGUAGCGGUGAAAUGCAUAGAUAUGACAUAGAACACCGAUUGCGAAGGCAGCUAACUAAGCAAACAUUGACGCUGAGGCACGAAAGCGUGGGGAU
rnacentral:rRNA from 1 species